UUCAGUUUAAUCUGAUCUCGUCUCUCGCUAUUUUUUUCUUCUUGUCCGUCGAAUCGCGCAUCUGAGUUUUGAAUCACGCCUCCUUCAUUUGUCCGUCGGAAGUGCCGAUGACAGUUUUGUGGAUUCCUCUUGUUCCAUACGUUCCCUUAUGCUUUAGGGUUUUCUCACCCACUUUUUGCCUACUGCUUAAUUAUUGUGCACGAUUUCUGCUUACCAAAUUAGAUUCGUACUUUAUGAUGUUUAUCACCAUGGUGAACUUGAAAUCAGUGUUUUUAGGUUCAAAGUUCAGAUGCUAACUUGUAUUUUUCAAGCGUUCGGGGAGCAGUUUGCUUGGCAAAAUAUGAUAUACUUCGUGGAAACUCUCUUAUACUAAAGUUAUGACAUAUUUAUAAAAGUUGAAUCAAUUAAAGUGGAAGGUCUAAGAGGUAGGGAUGGAUCAAAGAAAACUUUUGUUAAUAUAAUAAAAUGAUGUAACUGAUUUGACUUACUGGUGAUAAGCCUGACAUGGAGCUGAUUGGAUGAUAAUAUCCAUAUAGAUUCUAAAUAGUUGGGACAAAUUCACGAUGCUGAUAUACUAUAGUUCACUCUUUUAAUUUAGAGGCAAUUUUGAUGGGCAAACUAGAGAUGGAUUUAUUGAGAUUCAUUGUUUUUAGGAGAUGGUGUUGGAAGUAAUCCAUUUUUAUCUUACUAUAUUUGUCGAAGCAGAAGGUUGUUUCUCCUCAAUAAAAAGGUGUCACAUAAAUAGGAUUAGGAGAAUGAAGUUAAGGUUAACGACCCAUCUAUUAGUCUCCUUUUACAUAGAUCAGAAGGUAUGGAUGAACACGUUGAUUCCUUAAAAGCAGGCACUACAUUAUCUUCCUUCCACCUGUUUUUUUUUUUUUUUAAAAAAAAAUUGGAUGGAACUAAAAGGAAAAUUGUUUGUUAAAGCCUACACUGCACCCCAAUUUGGGC